rnacentral:sRNA from 1 species
GUGCCUAUGAAUGUCACAAAAUAAUCUCUCUUAAACAGCAUCAUAAAAAGAAAAGUGUCAGGCACCUAUCUCACUCCUUGGUGGAAUGUGUGUUUCAGCCUUGUACGUGUUAUCCCAGCAACCUGAGCAGGUGACAAAGGGGCUCUCGUGUCAACAUUUACGGGGAACUUAUUGUCAGGCAUCCUAACAUCAUCAUAAAUGAAUAAAAGGCAUAAAUCAUUCAUUGGGUACCAGGGUGGCAUAGAAUAGUUAUGUGCCCUUCAUGAAAUACUGUGCAGUCUCUGAAAAUGCCUCUAGAUGGGUGACUGCCUCACUUCUCUCAGCCUGGUUCUGUAUCUGCAAUGGAUUGAUGAAGGUGGUUGAUUCCUCUGUCUCCUAAGAGGAUGAUGUAAGUCAGAAUACAUGGAAUUCUUAAUUAUUUAGGCAUAUAGGGAAUUCUGCACCUUUGUUAGUAGCAAACUACGUGGUCUUCACUCUCCUGUGUAUAAACUUCUGGUGCUCUGGUUUUCCUAUCAUUACACACCAAGGGUUCUCUCUGUGUAGACCCCAGCCUUUUGAGCUGUGUGACAAAUAAUUAUCCCCCCAAGGUCACAGAGCAGGACCUGUAAUUUUAAUACUGGAUGCUGAGCACUUUUGGAGAGUAACUGACCUUUAAGAAAGGUGCUUCCGAGAACACCUGACACAGCCGUGAAAUGCUGAAUCAGUAACAAUUUAGAGCAGAAAAGAACUUAACCAAGUUAGACAACUUGUAUUAGCUCUUGUGACUGAGACCAUUAGAACCAUUUUGGUUCAGUUCAGACCAAAAUAAUGAAUGUGAGGAGAGAGUACCAGGAGACAACCAUUUCUAUUUCUAUUUUAAAGCCCAUUUAGAAAUGUCCCAGUGUGCCUUUGAAGCUUGAUUUUGUCUCCACAGAAAUCCAUAUCUAUUAGUCAACUAGUUUUUAGCCCUCAUUGCAUAUUACAGGCACAUGCUUGCUCCCACACACCUGAACCUGGGCACAGAUCUACGUAAGUGUACACACACACACACACACACACACACACACACACACACUCAAACCCUUUUUGAAUACUGAUAUCCAGAGUUCGAAGAACAAAAAGGUCAUUGGUUUUAUUCCUUUUUUAAAAAUAUUUUGUGUUGAGCAUGGAACUCGGGGCCUAGAGCCCGCCAUUUAAUUCAUCUACCAUUAAAGAGAAUACUCAAAUACUAGGAAUCUGAACUUUAAAGCUUAAAACUUCAUUGAUUCCCCCAACUUUUAAUUGUCUCUACUAUGUGUCUCUACUAGGCUGAGAAGGAAAACAUUAAUGAGAGGCAUAGAUUAAGAUCCUAGGUUGGGAUCCUAUAGUGGGGACUGGUGAGGGCUGUGGUAAUAUCAGGAGGUAUGACUGCUUUCAAAUGAAAAACUCUGUCCAGUUAAAAUGUCACUACUUUAUAGGUCUCAAAGCACUUUGACCGAUUGCCAUCACCUCUAAUGCAAGCCUUUCAUUCUACAAAUAAACUAUUUGAAUUGCAGGCCAUUUUAAAUGCAAUUCUUCCAGUGGAGUCUCUGAUCCUAGUUCAAAGCUCUCCAUUCUGUUCAGUUCAGCAUCUUUGAGUGACAAGUAGAAAUAUACAACACAAAUCUGAAUGAAAUAUCACUAAGUUUUGCAAAUCAAUUCUAAGCCUGGCAGUGGUAGAAAACUCACUAACUCCUGACUAUUUCUCUGAAAGAUUAAUAAUCUGUUAAGUUGUCCAUGAAAAUUAAAUCCUGUAAUUCAUACAUAUAGCCAUACACAUAAUCUUAGAACAAGAAGGAUUUUCAAUAAACCAUCUGGUCUACCCUACUGCCUUCAGGCAAAUGAACUAUUACUGCCUCUUAAAAACAAAGGAACAGAGGCUUUGAAAGAAUAACAAAUGCAUCAUGAGCAACAAAGAACCUUGUUACUUUGCCUUCUGGGUUAGAAUAUUACUGAGAAAGAGACUUUCAGAGCAGAAGGCAGAAUUAUGUGUUAAAGUACACAGCACAGAACAUAGACAAUGAAGAUAAAUCUAAGUCCUGGAAGGGUCAAUAAAUGCCCCAAAGUCUAUUCUUAUGUAGAACACAAGAAACCAGAGUAGCACAUGCCUAUAAUCAUAGCAUGUAGGCAGGAGUAUUGAGAAUUGGAGUCCAGCAUGGGCUACAUAGCAAGACUCUGUCUCAAAAUAAUUAAGUUUUCAGAUUGUGAAGCAUUUAUGAUGCCAAACAGAGUUUGGAAUUGAUGAAAACCAUUGCUGACACAAACUGCAUGCUGAGUACACACUGAGUACACAUAUCCUAUGUCAGCACUACAAUCUCUAGAGAUCACUGCAAUGUUCUUCAUGUCAGCUCAAUCCAUGUGUGAGACUCUCUACUACAUGGGAAGCUCUUCAUGUUAUCUAAAUGCCCUUCCUUGACAAAGAUCUACUAAAUAUUAUUCUUCAUGACUAAAUAUGCCAUGACACUGUAUGAUUGCUUCCAUGAUAGAAUUAGCCAAUCAUUAUGAGUGGGGCAUUCUAAACUAAUCCAUAUACCCUUCAUGCUUGUUUGAGGAUCUACCUGGUGUAUUACGCUAAGUAAAUUCAAUUAUACCUCUCGCCUCUUUCUCCAAAGCCUACCAAACAUGUAUUACUUGAUGCUAUUUUUAUUUUUAAUGCUUUACAUCACAUUUCAACUGUCCAAGGAAGACAGAAACUGUCAUGACUGAGAGGUUCCUGCAUAAGUGGUAACACAUGAACUCGCAUCUCUACGCCCACACCCUUCUUAUCUGCCCCCUACAUCUCUACUCUUUUCUGUUUGAUGCCAAUGGGAUGGGGUAUUUUAUGUAUCUAAAACAAUGUUCCAAUAUUUAAAAUGGCACGCCACAUUUUAUGAUUUGCAGAAAAUAUUUAAAAAUGUCUUGUACAUUGAUGGUUCCAAUUUCUUUGUUUUAUUAUGCAGCCUUCUAUUCGGCGGUUCUAUUGUGUAGUUAGUUCUUUGUUGGCUAGAACAAACUAGUGGAAGAUUUGUGAUGUGAGACUUAAGCUUUAUAAGAAAGUGUCUCUUUUCUUCUGCAUGCAAGAUAAACUACUUGUUGAAAACAUUUUAGAAUUUCAUUUUUCUUUAAAAAACUGUCUAAGUAGUCUCUUGCUUUCUGCAUUGUUCUAAAGGAAAACUACUAGAUCAACAUAAAUAUUUUGAAAUGAAAGAUGUUUGUGGAGUUUGGGGGAUGUUACAGCAUCUAUCAUACAAAUGUGAGGAAUUAAUUUUGUAUCUGAGAUCUUUAUGGAUGCAGUGGUAGGCAUCUGUAAUCCCAGCACUCCUACAAGGGGGUGAGGAACAGAUACAAGCAGAAACACCAGAAGCUUACAAGCCAGUUAGCCUGGAGCACACCUGGCAGAAUCAAAACAGAGUCCCUACCUCAGACAACCUAAAAAGGAAGGUGUAUGCUCCGUGUCACGUGUAAGACCCAUCAUCACACACAUGAGUGCCUUCUGCACAAACAUCUACAGAAUGGAGACGGUACUGACAACUCAGUACUGUGAUGCUCCAUCACAGUGUAUCUGGGCUUGACACCACUUGUGUAACUUCAGUCUCAGAAGAUACACCACUGUGUGAUCAUCAUUCUAUCCUUUCCCUGGGGUUCCUGUCAUCAGCAAGAAUUCUCAUACCCUCUCUUCCUCAGUCAUCUCACCUUUUCUCUUUUGUUUUAUAACUCUUCUGGAAUACUUCCUCACUCUCGUGCUUAGUUGAUUUACUCUUUUCCUCAUCUAAAUUCCUUGCUGAUUCCAGAGCAGAAUUUUGUCUUGUUAAUAACUUUUUUCUUCUCUUCCAAUAUUUCCUGGUAAACCCCCUUAGCUAGAUAAUCUUCUGCCUCUGCUGGACCUGGUUUUUGGACAGUUCUCAACCAUGUAUAAGUAGAAGAAUCUUUCCCUAAUACACUACCACUUUCUAAUCUUUCUUUGUUAUAAAAGACAUGAUUUUUAAGCAUAUUAUCUUCCUCCGAGUCAUCAUGAUGAUGUGCUUGGACUUUAUUUUAUACUUUUUUUUUCAGAUGAACUGAAUCCUCUAUCAGAGAGCAAGCGGAAUUGAUCUAUCUAGACAGAAUGUAACCAACAUUGUCCAGUGAUGUAGGCAUUUAUUCAAUGAAAGAUCUCUUUCAGGUUGGCAAGGUGAUUUUUGUCUUUUAUAAUAUAAAAAUAUGAAAUUCAUAAAAUAUAGUGUCUGGUGGUUUAGAUUUAAAUGACCCUCACAGACACAUGGGUUUGAAUGUUUGGUCCUUAAUUGAUAGAGCUGUUUGGGAAGGACUGGGAUAUGUAUUCUAGUUGAAAGAGGUGUAUAACUGUAGGUUGACUUUGAGGUUUCAAAAGCCUAGACCAGGUCCAAUCUUUCCUCUCUCCUCCCUUUGACUACAGAUCAUGUGAUCAUCAUUUAGGUCUCAGAUACCACUCCAGUGCCUGCCUGCAUUCUGCCAUGAAUCUUACCAUGAUGGCUAUGGACAGACGCUCUGAAACUGUAAGCAAUUCCCUAAUUAAAUGCUUUCUUCCAUAGGAGUUGCCUUGGUCAUGGUAUCUCUUCACAGCAAUAGAACACUUGGUAAGACAUUUUUUCCCAGAUUAUAUGGUACCUUGAAUCCUUUACCUUCUUUUGCUUGCAGAGUUUUGCGUGUAGGAAGCAUAUCUCUUAAUAAAUAAUCUUGGCUAUCUCUUAUUUAAUUAAGUUGUUUCAUGGCAACUUUGCCUCUCACUGGUGUGUGAAUAUGUUUACACACAUAUACAUAUAAUUAUAUAUUUAUGCACAUGCACACAUGCAUGUACCGGUACAGAAAUGCAUAUACAAGGAUAUUUGUGCCUAUAUAUAUAUAUAUAUAUAUACAGACAUAUUUAUAUAUUUUAAUAAAUAUGUGCAUGCCUGUGCGUAUGUGAGAGUCCUUGACUAUGAAGAGAAUUGAAGGAAAGACUGACCAAAGAAGACAAAGGAAGAAAUAUUUCUUUUUCCCACUGCUACCAAGAGUCAGUUUUAUGAGUAGACCAUAGUACAGACCUCAAACCUCAAAGUAUAUCCUGUAAAACUCCCAGUUAAGGGACGAUGCUUCUAAUCUGAUGAGACAAUACUAUUUUUUAUUGCACUUUACAUUGUGCACGUGUGCACGUGCGCAUGCACACACACACACACUCACACUCACACAACUCACAUUCAUGCCACUGUGCAUGAAUAGAGGUUAGAGGAAAACUGCAGGAAUCCGUUUUCUUUAUCCACCAUGGUCUCAGGAAUCAAAUUCCAGUGAGCAGGAUUGGUGGUACCCACGGAGCCAUCUUGUCUGCCCCAAAAUUCACUCCCCUUAACUGUUCCUUGAAAUCUAGUUGUGUAACUCUGAAGGAUCAAGAAAAAUGGGCAAGAGACUGAUGAUCAUCCCCAGUCUUUGAUAUGAGGCAAUUCAGUACUUACUUCUCUGUUCUCAGACUCUUUAGUAGAUGACUAAGGAAGGCUGAGGGGGAUGCCAUUUUUAAGUCAGGAAUUCAUUUUUUGCAACUCCCUACUGCAGAGAGGUAUAAUACUACAGAAAAAAGCUAUCCAGGGUUUCCCUGUAUUCUUUGCCACUGUUCAUUUUGUCCAUAAGCACUGGGGUAAAGAGAGGACAAAGAACACACAGGACAUUGGACUUUCUACAAGAUCAGACCAUAACUGAAGUGUCCUGACUUUCACAGUGAUGAGGUCUAUGUGAUUCUGGAGAGAGAAAAUAGUAAGGAUAGCAUUUAGAAAAAAACCUACCAAGUCAGUGUGUACUUCUCUCAAUCUUUGGGGAAUAGAAGUGACUCUCAUUAUUCUUGAAGCUCUGUCCUGUCAUUAACAAUAGCAAAUCCCCAUUUCUUAUCCUCGGAAGCAAGGAAAAACUUCACAGUGACUUUAACACGUAGCCAAAAGUGACCUUCCUAUGUAAUAUGUGCCCGAGACUGAAGUGGUAUUGAGUCUUCACAGACUCCUUUGAAAGUUCCGUACAAACUGCACUCUCCAUUUUCAAUGGCUUAUGGGUAACUGAAGAUGAACCAAAGCUUUUUCAGUUCACGCAAUCACCAGGCGCUGUUCUUUUCCAACUCUAAGCCACUCAAUGCCCCCAAAGCCAAUUUUGUAAAGCGCCACAUUCUUUCUAAAUAUCCCAUGAAUUUCAUUAUGUAUUAUAAAGAAUGCAGCCCUGAAGCUAAUAAUAAGAUAGGCACCAAAAAUCCGUUCCUUUUGAAUUGGUUCUGUAAUACUGGGUGUUAAUGAACCUUAGAGAAAUAAAGCUCGGAAAAGCACUUGGCAGAUUCGCAGUGCACAACAUUGACCGUCUUGAGGCAGAAGUCAUUGUAAAAGUCAAGAGGUUCCUGAGGCUCCUACCACUACAACCCCA